rnacentral:lncRNA from 1 species
UGAGGAUUCAAAUUCUAAUGUUGGAGAAGAUAUAACUUUUAAUAUAUUAAACAUUAUGCAAAUAAUAAAAAAGUGUGAUUGUAUUGCCUUUACUCAAUCAAAAAUAUGUUUGGAUGAUAAGCAUAGUAUGGAUUCACAUUGCUUUCUUAAACAUUAUUGACAUGUUUUGAUAUUAUGCUUAGCUUUAUAAUAAUGUCCUAACAAUUGAUACACAAGAUUUAUGCCUAAUGUGAUUUACUGUUGAACAUCGUUGCUUCAAUAAAUCGUAACUAACUAAAUUGUUUCGUCAAAUUAAAAUGUGUUUGGAACAGUGGAUUUUUGGAAGAC